CCCACUUCCAGGAGAGGUUUGGAGGGGCGGACUUGGAACCAGGCAGGUAGGUGGGUGGGAGUCCCACGUUCCUGUGUGGUCCUGAGAAAGUUACUUCCCCUCUCUGGGCCCGUCUCAACCCUAAGCCAGCGACAAGGAGAGUAGGUGCCGCAUCUGGGCCCCUCCUGGCACUGGGGAGGCUGCUCUGACGGGGCCUCCUCCCUGACUGAACCUUUCCAGGAAACUGCAGCUGCGGCUGCUCCACGGUGCUCCUCAUUGAAUGAAGGCCCCUCUUCCUUCUGGUCUGCCUCCCCGGCUGGGUGGCCAGGGUCAGAGAAGGGAAGGUGGUGAGGCACUGGAAGCCCCCCACCCGCACCCCGGCUGAGAGGACAAUGAGGAAAUGCUGGACUGGACUCUGGGGCGACCCUCACAGAAGGCUGAGGCAGCAGCCACGCUAAGGACCAGAACUGCAGGAGUAGCCAUCAUGGAGCAGCCAGAUGUGCCCCACCCACCCAGCUGCCUGGGACACCCACUCUGAUGACAGCCACCCUCCACCCUACCUUGGCGCCUGGACCUUUUACCUACCUUCAUCCUUCGCUAGCUGUACCUAACUCCUGGGUCUCAGCCUGACUGUCUAAAGGAGUGCUCUGAGCUCUUGGGAAGUGGGUGCUUCCAGGGGAGGCCGCCCCUUUAAGACAGACAUUGUGUGAGAGGGGACAUCAGGAGGCAGCCUCAAGUCCAUCUCUGUGGAAACUGUUAGAAAAGUUAGCUUCUUUUUCUCCUCUGUCUUCCAGGAGCUUGACCUCUGGCCCCGGGGCCCAUCUGAGUGGUGGGCAGACCCAGAGCGGGGUGAAGGGGCAGAGCCAUGCCAAGAGAGGCUGUCGUUGGUAAGGGCUUUGAGUCCCUGUAUAUUGAUUCUGCCAGCCCAAGGGACUCUCAGAGGGUUGGCACCUAGCCCCUCCCGGGGCCCCUGAGCUCAGGACUGAGGCUGCUGCCAGACUGAAGGGGGGGAUGGGAACACGCCCCAAAGGACAAGGACAAAGGCCACAGAGGGGCGUGAGCUUCAGAGGCACAGCGCACGCACGUGCUCCUCGCCCAGGCCUGGGAACUGGCAGGGACCCGGGAUGGUGACCCAGAAACCUGGCCGUCAGCUGCUCCUGCCAGCACU
rnacentral:lncRNA from 1 species